rnacentral:rRNA from 1 species
UUUUGCUGACGAGUGGCGGACGGGUGAGUAAUGCUUGGGAAUAUGCCUUAUGGUGGGGGACAACAGUUGGAAACGACUGCUAAUACCGCAUAACAUCUCCGGAUCAAAGUGGGGGACCUUCGGGCCUCACGCCAUAAGAGUAGCCCAAGUGGGAUUAGCUAGUUGGUAAGGUAAUGGCUUACCAAGGCGACGAUCCCUAGUUGGUCUUAGAGGAUGACCAGCCACACUGGAACUGAGACACGGUCCAGACUCCUACGGGAGGCAGCAGUGGGGAAUAUUGCACAAUGGGCGCAAGCCUGAUGCAGCCAUGCCGCGUGUGUGAAGAAGGCUUUCGGGUUGUAAAGCACUUUCAGCGAGGAGGAAAGGUUGUACUUUAAUAGAGUGCAGCUGUGACGUUACUCGCAGAAGAAGCACCGGCUAACUCCGUGCCAGCAGCCGCGGUAAUACGGAGGGUGCGAGCGUUAAUCGGAAUUACUGGGCGUAAAGCGCGCGUAGGCGGUUAAUUAAGUCAGAUGUGAAAUCCCAGGGCUCAACCUUGGAACUGCAUUUGAAACUGGUUAACUAGAGUUUUGUAGAGGGUGGUAGAAUUUCAGGUGUAGCGGUGAAAUGCGUAGAGAUCUGAAGGAAUACCAGUGGCGAAGGCGGCCACCUGGACAAAGACUGACGCUGAGGCGCGAAGGCGUGGGGAGCAAACGGGAUUAGAUACCCCGGUAGUCCACGCAGUAAACGAUGUCUAUUAGAAUUUUGUGGCUAUAUGCCGUGGGAUUCAAAGCUAACGCAUUAAAUAGACCGCCUGGGGAGUACGGCCGCAAGGUUAAAACUCAAAUGAAUUGACGGGGGCCCGCACAAGCGGUGGAGCAUGUGGUUUAAUUCGAUGCAACGCGAAGAACCUUACCAUCCCUUGACAUCCAGAGAAUCUGUUAGAGAUAGUAGAGUGCCUUCGGGAACUCU